UGCGCACCGUGUAGCCAACGUGCACUGAGAAUCGCAAUGAAAGAUAAACGUGGAAUUUGAAGGAGCAGGUGUCUCUCCUGUAGGGACUGCAGAGUCUUCAUAGACAGGAGUUGGACAGGGUGUCCUUUUUUGUCCUCUGCCAGUGCAGAUUGCUUUCUCUUCUUUUUCUGAAAUUAUGCAAACAGUCCCUCUACAUGCAUGCAAUGUCUGUGGACAGAGGGGUCAAGGACAGAGCAACUCUCGUAAAACUCAAGGAACCCGAGAUCUUGUAUUAUGCCCAUGUGAGCCUGGCACUUCCUCCUGCAGAGUGAACUGGUAUGGCCGGUCUAUUUGGUUCCAGUCGCUGGGGAAACUGGUGCCAUGGAGAGAGCCUCCCCCUCCUCCUUACGCUGGACAAAGGCAGAUGACAGGUCAAAGAAAUUCUCCCAGAAACACUGUACAAACAUGCAGGAAUGAAUCCACAAGCAAAUACAGCAGUGUCAGUAGCAGGGUUA